rnacentral:rRNA from 1 species
GAUGAACGCUGGCGGCGUGCCUAAUACAUGCAAGUCGAGCGAACAGACGAGGAGCUUGCUCCUCUGACGUUAGCGGCGGACGGGUGAGUAACACGUGGAUAACCUACCUAUAAGACUGGGAUAACUUCGGGAAACCGGAGCUAAUACCGGAUAAUAUAUUGAACCGCAUGGUUCAAUAGUGAAAGACGGUUUUGCUGUCACUUAUAGAUGGAUCCGCGCCGCAUUAGCUAGUCGGUAAGGUAACGGCUUACCAAGGCAACGAUGCGUAGCCGACCUGAGAGGGUGAUCGGCCACACUGGAACUGAGACACGGUCCAGACUCCUACGGGAGGCAGCAGUAGGGAAUCUUCCGCAAUGGGCGAAAGCCUGACGGGGCAACGCCGCGUGAGUGAUGAAGGUCUUCGGAUCGUAAAACUCUGUUAUUAGGGAAGAACAAAUGUGUAAGUAACUAUGCACGUCUUGACGGUACCUAAUCAGAAAGCCACGGCUAACUACGUG